CUCGACCGGCGCGCAAGCGCACACGGCCAACUGCCUUGUGCCUGUGAGCUUCGCAGGCUGGCGUACUUAGUCUGCCACUCUUCACCAUCUUCACAGAGCCCCAGAGGCGAGAAGUUCUUCCAGAAGAAGCUACUGACUUGUUUCUCCAAUAAGCUCCACCCUUACCCUCCUCAUUGUGGCCAGGGUGAAGAGCUGAGGAAAUUGUCAAACACAAAACAGGAGCUGCUGUCAGGGUGGAACCAGAAUCUGCCUUUACUAGUUCAGAAGUUGGGGAAAUGCAUCUGUUUUCCUGAAUUGCUCUGCCCUGGUGUAUCACAAUUACAGAAUGGGGUCUACCACAUCUCCCACCACUGUGAUAAUCUCUCUGCUUUGCCACAGGCCCGGUGGGGCUGGCUGACCACUUGAUGGACUGAAAUAGCCAAGACUGGGAACCAAAACAGCCUGAUGUCUUCAUAAGCUGAGAGCCUCAGGCAUAAGUUACAGUGAUGAAAAGCCCAGUAACAAAAAUGUGUAGCUGAGCAUCUGAAGUCUAUAUGGGGUCAUCAAUUUUUCCUAUAAAAGAUGUACUCAUGGUUCAAUGCUGCCCGUGGUGAAAGGUUAUCAGAGCCCUGAUCUCCAAACAAAUGAGUGCCUAGGUUUCCUUUGCAGCAUUAAGACUAAAUAAUAAGAGACAAUGUAGGUGCAGUACAAUAUAUCUUCAAAUCUUAAAAAUGAUUAUUCAACUAUCUCUGCUUAAAGACUUCUUUAAAAAAAAGAAAGCCAAGUGUUUCAAUGCUCUGUAAAUGAGCAAAAAUAAGGCUGGAGCAGGCCGUUCACAAGUAUAAAGCUUAUGCAACGAGAGCCGUGCAAAAAACAAGCUUGGUUCCUGGAACAAUAACCCCAAGAGCCCUGUUUAGCUGUUGAGCUGGCCAAGUGCUCUGGACAGCAGAGCUGGUGGGAGGACUUGGGCAGUGAUGAAGGUAGGGGACGGUGGUGCCGGUAAGAGCUCUGGCCACUAUGUGAAAGCCACCAAGGCUAGCCUCUGCUUCCCUAAGAUGCUUACCCUGCAGACAGAAGAGUUUUCUUUUGUAAAACAUGCUGUUCACAGUGGCAAAGACGGUCUUCAGAUUGUCUUCCCUAGUUACUGACAGUCAAAUUCUGAUCCUGUGACCUAGAAAAAAAGUCAAAUUUAUGAUAUUACUAAUCAUAUUCUCAUCAAUCAUCUAUGUAUGACUUGAUUUACAUUUUAGUUUAUCUGAAGGGAUCAAAGUGGGUUGAAAUCCUUUGCUUUUGACUGCAUGGGGUGAGUUAAGAUUUGAAUUAAACUUAGUUCUUUAGGGAACUAAGAAGUGAACAAGGAGACCAGGCUGAUGGAAACAAAGCAAUAGGAUGAGUUAUCAGGGUAGAGCCUAAAGUGUCCAUAUGUGGGAAGCACUGGUUUUUAGUAUAUAUGGAUUAGCCCACUUAAUCCUGAAAAUGAUCAUUUUAGGUUGUUUUGUAGUACCCCGUGUUUAAGUGAAGAAACAUAAGCACCGAAACUGGCAGGGGUCAUAUGAGGAGGUCACAGAUCCUAAUGCUUUCAAAUGCUGCCUCUGAGGCUGCCCUGGCUCCUGGAAGAUACAAGUUUACAUCUAGGCCCAAGGUGAGCCCUUGCAUCAGAUAAACAGCCUCCUCAAGCACAGGCAGGGAUAUGAACUCAGAGGUGCUGGCUGUGACGGCAUUCGAAGCCAAAGUAGGAGGAAGGAAAGCAAUCUGAGCAGCAUGGAGCUUCCUGAGGAUGUUCUGUCUUGGGUCAUUGUCAGCCAUUUCUCUCCUGCCCCAGCCCCCAGCCCUCAUAUCCUUCCCUAGCAGCCCUUGUCCCUGGAAGGGAGAGCAAGCCACCUUCUGCUUGUUUAAAACAAAAGGCUGACUCUGGAAGGGACAGUCUAUUUCUGCUGGAAGCUUUCUUGUAGUACUUGGAGGUCUAUCAUUAAUAUCUUUCCAGUUUCCUUCUCUCCUGAGGAGGAUGGAUGAAAUAAAACCAAUAUCAAAAUAAAAUAGGAGGAAGAAGGUCUUUGGGGGUAAGGAAGAGAACCCCAGGAUAAGCCUUGGCAUUUGAGAAGGUGGACCUGGGAGGGGCUUCCCAGAAUUCAGGACAUCCAGAAAGCACCAGCCACAAUUAUGUGGCCAAAUGCCUGAUGGAACAAAAUAGCCCAGGAGACUUAAUAGCCCCUGGUCUCCAUUUGCUCGCUCUACAGUCAGCCUGCUUCCAGCUGUUUCCAUCUUCAAAAGGAUUAAAGGAUUGUGGCUUGCUUCAGGAGUCGGUGAGUGGGAGGGUAUUUAUGGCCGAUCCCAAGGCUUAGGAGCCAGAGAACUAAGGAAACCUUGAUCCCACAAAACAGGUGGAGACACUGAAAAUCAAAGCAACAGGGCAAACCCAAGAAUUUUUGAAAGAAGAAUGAACUGAUGUAAAGAAAAGAAGCCCUCCCCCAGUUGAGGAUCCGGGGAGGCCAUCUGGAGCCUGAACCUUUCGAUCCUGCCACACCCCAAGAAAAUUUCAGUACCCAUCUACUACAGACAAAGAGUGAUUUGCACUAUCUAAGAGGUGUGGCUCCCCACCUCUAGGGGAGUCUUUGCCUAAGGACAAGUAGGUUUGGAUUCCUGUUUUAGAACUAGAAGACAUUUGUCAGAAGAAAUAACGAUUGUGCAUGCAUUCAUUCUAUAUGGAGAAGCAUCUAGGGUACCAACCUUAGUGCCAAGUGAUGAAAUGUUAAAGCCAUGGCAAAGACAGGGAUCUUUCUGUCUUGUGUGUGUGUUUGGGGGGGAGGGGGGACUGUUUAUUCUUGAGCUGUGAGGGAUGGUGACAACGGGGAUCCAUAGCUGGAGCUCAAAGUCCAUUUCACUAAGUUUGAAGAUGGGGUAGGCAAAGUCCAGCUGAGAGACAGGCAUUUGAAUAAUGGGGUCUUGUAUUGGGGUGUGUUUAGGAUAGUUACUGCCAUGUUAUCACGAUUGCCUCUGGUACAAACGAGCAGCUUAGAGUUCUCAGUUCCUCCCAGACCCACUAACUCAGGACUUCUGAAAAUGUGGCCCAGGAAUCUAUAUUUUGGCAAGCACCACAGAGUAUUUCUUUUCUUCUCCAUAUUAAUUGUGGAGACCAACCACAGGUUUAGAUUUUAUUAUUUAUUGUCUAAGAAUUCGUGUGCUCAGGUGAUAAAUGAAAACAAUGAUCCCAUGUAUUCAGCAAUCAUAGAGUCUGGAGGAGGGCUGGCAUUUAUAGCAGAGUAAACAUUAAUACAAAUACAAGGUUCCUAUCACACAUAGCUACAUAAUAACUGGGACAUAAACGUGGGCCAACUCAUCUAAAACACUGCAUUCACAUAUUUCAAACAAAUGUAGACGCUGACGUUUCUGUAGCCACGGACAGAGAGACGGGUACCAAGAAGUUAUUGUAAGGGCACAGCUAAAGAACACCAGCUCCUCCCAGCUCUAGGAUUGGGGGCCAGCAGUGCUGUUUCCUCCAGCUGAACUGCUGGAGAAAAAAGACAUCACGGCCAUCAUGGCUAGUGUCUUCCUUUCCCUAAUAGCAGGUGGAGCCAGCUCUGGUCUUAGCUUUCCUAUUUAAAGCCCUGGCCUCCUGAUUUCCUUCCAGAGUUCCAGAAUGCUUGUCAUGGAAUUUACCAGGUUCUUACUUCCCUCUUUCAAUGACCUGCCUAGAGUGGGAGAUACAAAAGGGUCAGCCAUAAUUAGCAGCAUAGAUGUUCAAAGAGACUCUAUGCUAGGCACGAACAGCCAGUGGUGGUCAGUGCUUUGCUCUAAGAAUAAAAAUACCUACAGUCAUGGGAGCUAUGCUGGGCAUCUGCACUGUGAAUAUUUCCUUGCUCAGACAUGCUUUUCUUCUAGUACAUCAGCUGCCUGUGGGGGGAAAAAGUGAUCCAGUGACGUAGGUAAAACACUCACAUGGUACCACUAGACCUGGCAACAGCUUUUUAGCAACCCCUCCCCCAUCAUCAUGCAUCACCUUGUAGGAACCACUCCAUUUUAUUGCUCUUUGAACAAUAGUCACUUAGGGUCAGUUAGCAGGAUCUUUUUGUCUUUUUCUCUGUUUUUUAUGUAUUUAUUUUUAUUAUUUUAAGUAUGUGUGCUCACAUGCAUGCAUGUUGGAGUAUAGGUGCCCUUGGAGACCAGACACAUUAGAUACCCUGGAGCUGGAGUUACAACAGUCAUGAGAUGCUGGACAUGAGCGCUAGAAACCAAACUUGGGUCCUGUGCAAGAGCAGAACGUGCCCUUAACUCCAGCCUCUCACCAUGUCUUGCUUUGUGUUUUGAAGAACACUAGGAUCUCCUUGUGCAAUCUAGGUGGCUUUGAACUUACAGUCCUGCUUGAAUUCCAGGCGUGCACCCCACACCUGGCUCGCUUAGGUGGGGAGGUUUUAAGCAGCUGUGAGAACCACAUGGCCUCUCUUGUUCUAGUGAUUUUCCAGGGUCACCGAUUGUCAGACACCACCUUUCUUAUUCUCCGUAUUUUAUAGCUAAAUUCUUACCCAUAUGCCUAAAGGGCCCAAAUUAAAUCCCAAUAUUGCUUGCAGAAACAAUGAAAGGCUUAGGUAAUGUAACUGUACAAACAAGGUAACAUUGCUGGGGACAGGCAGCUGGACUCAGGCCAGUCUAGUCUGUGUCCACUAGCUCAGAUAAUUGGCAGGGGCUGGAAUCAUUAUAGGGGGACCACACUUGGUCUGCUCCCUUAGAACUGUAUUCCCAGACAAGUUCAAGUGUAUGGCAAACCCAAUGGACAACCAAACUUUUACACUUAAAUAAAGAAGUUCCCCUAUGAGAGUCCAUGGGGAGAAAUAACCAAGGUCUGGUUACCUCUCUGCCCAACUGCCAGGCAGCACAAGGAACCACAAGAGCUCUUUGCAGAGGCUGCAUCUUCUUGGAGUUACCUUCACUUCAGCAUGGCUGAUUGCACAUGAAGAUGACUGGUUGUCAGCUGACACUUGACACUGACGUGAGAGCUCCUCUUCAUCCUGAAAACUUCCAAGACAGAAAGUGAGUUUACUCAGCUCCUACAGAUAUAGCCUCAAUUGCUCUGUAGAGGAAAGAUACGCCUCUGAAGAGUCCAUGGUUUUUAAGCCAAGUAUGAGCAAUUUGGCAAGUUUAUCAGAGCAGCCUUCUCGAUCCUUCUUCUGAAAGUUCUUCCUGGAAUGGCAAGUGAUUGAUUCUAAUGGCCUUAUCUAAGAAGUCCAGUGGUCCCACUCCACUCCUCAGUGUUUCUCAUUUUGGAGCAGGCAGGUGAGCCUGUCAGGAGCACACACUGUGGUUUGCAAGAAGACUGUGACAUUUUUUAGUGGAAACUCAGUCAUCAGUUCCCUCCUCAGUGAGCAAGAAAGGAGAAAGGUGUUAGUGGCGGACAACCAAAUGUAAUAGCCUCGGCUAUGUGAAACUCGGCUGUAUGUCUUGGAAUUUUUGAAUCUGAAGUUGUCUAUGCCAAGAUACACUUGGGUAACAGAACCUGAGAAAACAAAGUUUUAAAUAAAGCAUUCUGGCAUCUUUUUCUAAUGACACAUACAGUUCUGUAAUAUACCAAGCUAUGUCUUUCCUUCCAACUUGACAGUGCAGCACCAUAUAUGUCUGGCUCUAACCCAGGGGAAAAGUAUGACUUGGCCUCCUCCAGAUCCUCUGUGGCAGCUGAUCCAAGGGGCCUAGGAAGACGUAGACAAUUAAUAUAUCACACUCUUCCACUACGAGGUUAACAUUCUAUUGGUUUUGAAAUGUGAGCAUAUGAUUUGGGCUGAAUAUGGGCAAUGCCAUUGUCUAGCCACUUUGGAACCAGGUAAAGUAUAGUUAAAUUGUCUUUCGUGCUUUGAGAAAUUGUCCAAGAAAGCCAUAUUGUUUUCCUGUGGGCUGAUCUCACUGAGAGUUAACUCCAUUUCAGCUAGAAGAGCCAAACCCAAUAUUAAUAUGAUUCUUCUAUGGUUUAGAUAUUCAAAUUAAAUAUCUGGAUUUAUUUUUGUGAGAAACAAGCUGAAUGUUUAUUUCAAUCAUAGCAACAAUCAUAUCUUUGGCUUGUGCUAAGGACUGUUGGUCUCCAGGGCUCAGCUAGAAAUUCACAAUGUGGGAAUUACAGAGUUUUCAUAAAAGCAAUUGGAAUGACAGUGUUUUCAUGAGCUCCCAGGGUGAACGUCUAUUAACAAAAGAUGCUUUGCUUCCCUCACACCUGCUCAGUGCUCCACAGGGGCCCGAGCAAUGCACGUUCCAAUAGAGCGGCGCCAACAAAAUCAAAUAAAAAUGAGGUUCCCAGGAUGAGAAUGGAGACUCGCAGUAUUUCUGCAGUCAGUGCACUGGAGGAGGAGUGGAGCCUUUAGAGCUGGCCUUUAAAGCAGAAAAUUUCAAAACAUAGAUUUGCAGCUAUAAAUCAUAUAAUUUUGACUGUUGAACCUAUUAUACAAUGCGCAUCUGUGUGCAUGUGUGCAGGGUGGGAGGCUUGUGAAUCUGUGCGCAUGUGUGUAUGUGUGUAUGUAUGGAGGGUGGGAGGGUUGUGAAUCUGUGUGCAUGUGUACAUAUGUGGAGGGUAGGGAAGAUUCAGAGGUAGAAGUUCAGAAGAGAUUGAAAGGGAGAGAAAAAAAUCUAACACAAUGGGAAUUUUUUUCUUUGCACAGUGUUGGAAAAAAUUAAGAAGCGUUUGCAAUACCUGCCUAAAUAAAUGUGUUUAUACUU